UACAGAGGGUGCGAGCGUUAAUCGGAAUUACUGGGCGUAAAGCGUGCGUAGGUGGUUUCUUAAGCUGGAUGUGAAAGCCCCGGGCUUAACCUGGGAACUGCAUUCAGGACUGGGAAACUCGAGUCUGGGAGAGGGUGGUGGAAUUUCCGGUGUAGCGGUGAAAUGCGUAGAUAUGCGGAGGAACACCAAUGGCGAAGGCAAUCCCCUGGGCCUGUACUGACGCUCAUGCACGAAAGCGUGGGGAGCAAACAGGAUUAGAAACCCGAGUAGU
rnacentral:rRNA from 1 species